GGGUACGAGGCGGAGCCUCAGGGCUCGGGGAAGUUCGGGUAGACUCGGGGAGGGGCGUGGCCUCGUCAGAUGGAGGCGGAGCCCGAGCUUCGCUCAGUUACGCCACCUGGCGACUCGCUCCAGCGGGGAAGGCUAGUUAGGAAAGCUCAGGCGGACCUGAUCUCAUCCUCUGGAUGUGCUCGGGAAAUAGGGGACUAGCCCUAUGAACAAAAAGGGGCCUGAGACGCAGUGAGCAUAAGUCUGAAAACACAUCCAGCAUCAUUAGGCAUCAGAGAAAUGCACAUGAAACCACGACCCAAGAGGAGAACUACCCAAGGACAGCAAAGGCCAGUGAAGACAGGGUCCUGUGCAGCCCACCCCUGGCCCUCCGUACAACAAAACAACGCGUCCCUUCCCUCCAACACUGGCAUGACAGACAAGUGCCACCAACUCAGCCAACCUAAGCUCUUUUUUUUUUUCCUAAAUAAAACGGAACACACACCAUGUCAUUAUUAUCAAAAUUGCUAUCAUGACUCUACAGUCUUGACCCCUGGCUAGGAUCUCUUCUGACAGGUGGACCCUGAGACCAUGGGACAGUGGAAGCCGCAGGCAAGUAGGACACAUACCUUGUCUGUGCGAGCACAUCGCUGGAAGGACAUCUUCCUCAUAUCUGUGCCAUGGUUUUCAGGGAUACAACCUGCCUGGACUAAGGCGGAUACCAAGUCAUCUUCGAUGGUCCUGAACUGGGAGGACCCCAGAUUCCUCUAAAGAAAAAAGGGGAAUAACCUGUUUUCAUGAGCUCUCGAGACGGAUGCACUCCAGAAAGCCAACCAUCACUUCUGGAACCAGCUCCAACACUGUGCCUCUCAGUCUCCCCUAACCAUAGGUUCAUGGUGUUCUUGACCCCAUGAGGUCAGGCAUGUCAGCAUCCCACCAAUCCUCACAAUAAAGACUAGGUCCUAGACUCUCAGGGAAAAACCUUCCCAAGGCGGGGAAAGCAAGGCAUGCAAACACUUCAACCACACUCCCAGGCUGAGACAGCCUCUUCAUAGCCGGCUCUACCCUACCCGUCAAGUCCCAUUGCCACAGAUGAAGUCAGGAAUACUUCCCAAGCGACAUAAAAAGACCUUAACAAAAAGUGACCACAACCCUCUCUCAGCUCUGUGAGACGGGCAUCUGUCACAACUCAAGUGGGGAAACGGAGGUAAACAGGAUAUCACUGAGAAACACAGCCUUAAAAAACAAAAAACUUGCACCGUCAGAACUACUCCCCAGUCACCCCAGAGGCAGUGCAGUCUGCAGUCCUCAGGAACGUCACAGCCUAGGCCACGUUAAAAGCACCGUCUAGCGGGAAGGCACCAUGAGCUCACUGUUGAAGCCUACGUGUCUCUCACUGGAGAGGGACAAAGCCCGACUGUAGCCCAGACUAUCCUUGAACUUGGCAAUCCUCCUGCAUCAGCUUCCUGGAAGCCAGGACGACAGGCUAUGCGCCACCAUCCCAGUUGGGCUACAUGACACUGCUGUCAUUCAUUCUCAAAGUCACCAUCAUGCCUGGUCAGACUCUGUUCCAGAGCCACUGUUCUGGUUAGACACCUCGCAGCAACGAACUCCACCCUGUGGCUCAAGAUUAAGGUUUAAAAAAUGGAAAAAGUGACCAGAGAGAUGGCUCGGCAUGUAGAGCACUGACGGCUCUUCUAGAAAACUGGGUUUGAUUCUCAGCACCCAGAUGGCAGCUCACAAGUGCCUGUCACUCCAGCCCCAGGGGAUGGUACACCCUCUCCUGGCCUGUGAGCAGUACAUGCACACGACUGCACAGACAAGCAGGCAGGCAAACCACCCAUAAACACCGAAAAAAAUUAAAGGUUAAAAUUUGUCUUAGAGAAAAUUACAAACUGAAACAACGGAGUUAAAGGGGUUUGCAACCCCAUAGGAAGAAUAACAAUAUUAGCCAAACAGACACACACACACACACCCCAGAGCUCCCAGGGACUAAGCCACCAACCAAGGAGUACACAUGGCUCCAGCUGCAUAUGUAGCAGAGGAUGGCCUUGUCAGGGAAGAGAGGUCCUUGGUCCUAUGAAGGCUCCAUAGAUGCCCCAGUGUAGGGGAAAUGAGGGCUGGGAAGUAGGAGUGGGUGGGUGGGUGGAGGAACACCCUCAUAGAAGCAGGGGGGGAUGGGAUAGGGGGUUUCCAGGAGGGGGAAACAGGGAAAGGGGAUAACAUUUGAAAUGUAAAUAAAAUAUCCAAUUAAAAAAAAAAAAAAAAGAGA
rnacentral:lncRNA from 1 species